rnacentral:rRNA from 1 species
CCUACGGGAGGCUGCAGUGAGGAAUAUUGGUCAAUGGACGAGAGUCUGAACCAGCCAAGUAGCGUGAAGGAUGACUGCCCUAUGGGUUGUAAACUUCUUUUAUAAAGGAAUAAAACGAGGCACGUGUGCCUUUUUGCAUGUACUUUAUGAAUAAGGAUCGGCUAACUCCGUGCCAGCAGCCGCGGUAAUACGGAGGAUCCGAGCGUUAUCCGGAUUUAUUGGGUUUAAAGGGAGCGUAGGUGGGUUGUUAAGUCAGUGGUGAAAGUUUGCGGCUCAACCGUAAAAUUGCAAUUGAUACUGGUAGUCUUGAGUAUAGUUGAGGUAGGCGGAAUUCGUGGUGUAGCGGUGAAAUGCUUAGAUAUCACGAAGAACCCCGAUUGCGAAGGCAGCUUACUAAGCUGUGACUGACAUUGAUGCUCGAAAGUGUGGGUAUCAAACAGGAUUAGAUACCCCAGUAGUC